rnacentral:tRNA from 1 species
UGGGGUGUGGCCCAGUGGUCGACGGCUUGCCUUGCACGCAUGAGGCCCUGGGUUCCAUCCUCAGCACCACAU